rnacentral:rRNA from 1 species
UAUUAUUUUAAAUUAAAUAAAUUAUUCUUGAUUAAUAAAAAUUAAAAAAUUAAAAAAUUAAAAAAUUUGGUAGUAUUUAAUAUCUUUAGAGGAACCUGUUAAUUAAUAGAUAGCCCACUUUAUAUCUUACUUAAAUUAAUAGUUUAUAUAUCGUUGUCAUAAGAAAAUCUUAAAAAAGGAUAAAAUUUUCUAAAUUAAUAAAUUUAAAAAUGUCAAAUCAAGGUGUAGUAAAUAUUUAAGAAUUUUAUGGGUUACAGUUAAAUUAUUUUUAGAUUUGUUUUUAAAAUUUAUAAAAAUAAUUGGAUUUAAAAGUAAAUAUUUUUAUAUAAGAAUAUUGAUUUAAAUUAUAAAUGUGCACAUAUCGCCCGUCACUUUCAGGAUUUGAAAUAA